rnacentral:rRNA from 3 species
GCUGAAAGCAUCUAAGCACGAAACUUGCCCCGAGAUGAGUUCUCCCUGAGACUUUAGGUCUCCUGAAGGAACGUUGAAGACGACGACGUUGAUAGGCCGGGUGUGUAAGCGCAGCGAUGCGUUGAGCUAACCGGUACUAAUGAACCGUGAGGCUUAACCUUACAACGCCGAAG